rnacentral:rRNA from 1 species
UGCCUGGCGACCUUAGCGAAUAGGUACCACCUGAUCCCAUUCCGAACUCAGUCGUGAAACUAUUCUGCGCCAAUGAUACUUUGGGGUUCCCCCAUGGGAAAGUAGGGCAUUGCCAGGCU